rnacentral:rRNA from 1 species
GGGCGAAGAUUAAGUAUCUGAUGGAACAUGUGGAUGGCGUACAUAACGCGAUCUUGUCCACCCAUUGCCAUAAUGACUUGGGCAUGGCUACCGCGAAUACCGUACAAGGCGUGUUGAACGGAGCCCGUCAGGUGGAGGUAACCAUAAACGGCAUCGGUGAGCGUGCGGGUAACACGUCAUUGGAAGAAGUUGCCAUGGUUUUCAAGAGCCAUAAAGAACGUGAUAUCAUCACCAAUAUCACGACGAAUAAGAUCUAUAGUACGAGCCGUAUGGUUUCUAGCUUGAUGAAUAUGCCGGUACAACCGAAUAAGGCUAUUGUCGGACGUAAUGCGUUCGCUCACUCCUCCGGUAUCCAUCAAGAUGGCGUUUUGAAGAAUGCGCAAACCUACGAGAUCAUCGAUCCGAAGGAUGUGGGUAUUGAUGAUAAUGCGAUCGUAUUGACUGCUCGUAGCGGUCGUGCGGCGUUGAAGCAUCGAAUGCAUAGAUWUCACGCAGAACCCCGAUUGCGAAGGCAGCCUGCCAAGCCAUUACUGACGCUGAUGCACGAAAGCGUGGGGAUCAAACAGGAUUAGAUACCCUGGUAGUCCACGCAGUAAACGAUGAUCACUAGCUGUUUGCGAUACACUGUAAGCGGCACAGCGAAAGCGUUAAGUGAUCCACCUGGGGAGUACGCCGGCAACGGUGAAACUCAAAGGAAUUGACGGGGGCCCGCACAAGCGGAGGAACAUGUGGUUUAAUUCGAUGAUACGCGAGGAACCUUACCCGGGUUUGAACGCAUUCGGACCGAGGUGGAAACACCUUUUCUAGCAAUAGCCGUUUGCGAGGUGCUGCAUGGUUGUCGUCAGCUCGUGCCGUGAGGUGUCGGCUUAAGUGCCAUAACGAGCGCAACCCUUGCCACUAGUUACUAACAGGUAAAGCUGAGGACUCUGGUGGGACUGCCAGCGUAAGCUGCGAGGAAGGCGGGGAUGACGUCAAAUCAGCACGGCCCUUACAUCCGGGGCGACACACGUGUUACAAUGGCGUGGACAAAGGGAAGCCACCUGGCGACAGGGAGCGAAUCCCCAAACCACGUCUCAGUUCGGAUCGGAGUCUGCAACCCGACUCCGUGAAGCUGGAUUCGCUAGUAAUCGCGCAUCAGCCAUGGCGCGGUGAAUACGUUCCCGGGCCUUGUACACACCGCCCGUCAAGCCAUGGGAGCCGGGGGUACCUGAAGUCCGUAACCGAAAGGAUCGGCCUAGGGUAAAACUGGUGACUGGGGCUAAGUCGUAACAAGGUAGCCGUACCGGAAGGUGCGGCUG